AGGAUAAACGCUGGCGGCGUGCCUAACACAUGCAAGUCGAACGUCCUACGCAAGUAGGGAGUGGCGGACGGGUGAGUAACACGUGGGCAAUCUACCUUUCGGUGAGGAAUACCGGCGAGAAAUCGCCGACAAAUACCGCAUACGUUUCGCAAGAAACAAAGUCGCAAGACGCCGGAGGAGGAGCCUGCGCCCGAUUAGCUGGUUGGUGAGGUAACAGCCCACCAAGGCUUCGAUCGGUAGC
rnacentral:rRNA from 1 species